rnacentral:lncRNA from 1 species
AGAUACCAUCUGCAUUUCACUGUUUCAGUCCCGGGAGACGCUCCGCGGAUACAAUCUUUCUACAGAGCGAAGUCUGAAUGGGGGCCGGAGGGAGAACGAGGAUGGACAGGACGUCCCAGAAAGCCAUCGGCGGCAGGGCCAUGCCUCGCACCUGACCUGCACAGCAGGUGGCCCAGAGCUCAAGUCAAGCAGCCGCCAGUCCCGAGUCCCGCCCUUUGAGAGGGCGCAGGCCCGGACAACGCUGGCUCAAAUACGUGAUAAACACCGCUCGUCGACUAUACACUCAACAACCAAAAUAAGUCUCUGUAUGGACUGAAAUAGAAAUGCAAGAACUGGAAAGGCCAGAUGAAGAAAAGUGUGUGGAAAGUAAACAAUGCAGUGAUCGGAGGCGUGUGUGCACUUUCCUUGGACUUUAGAUGGAAGAGGGUCAACAUGCACUUUGUUUCCGUCUGUGUGAUUGACUCGCUCUAUGCCAUGCUUGCUAACUGAGACCUUCCUUCAGCUCUUCAGCUGAGCUGUGAGUGGCUUUGAGGGUUGGGAGGUCUCCCACUGAGGGGUCAGGGGUCAGGUCCUGUAUACUUUUUGAAGAGCAGGGGCAUUUGAGCAAAACAAAACUGGAGUUAAUCCCUGCUUUCCUAUUAGAAAAGUUGUGUUCUUUCUCUAUGCCUGUUUCCCCAUCUGUUAAAAAGUGAUAAUGGUAAUACAACUUAGUGAGGCUGUUGUGAAGAAUAAAUAAGAAAUUUGACAUAAAGAGCAAGCUGACAUUUACUAAGUUCUCAAUAAAUGUUGAUAAAUAUCUAAUUGAUCCACUACAACUCACAUAGGCUAGGAGUUUUUGUCUUUGCCUAAACAUUCUCGUGGCUUUUAUGCAAGCUUUUCUUUGUCCUGGUCUCCAAGUGGCAUGCUAACGGCAACUUUUACUGGCUCGCAAGAGCCGAUUAUUAAAUUUUUAGGAAUUUUGAGCUCUGGUUGUUAAAAACUGCCAAUAUUUAAAAAUAGAUGAAAAGAAACAUAUAAUUAAAUAAUUAUAUUUAAAACAAAGUUGAUAAAUACUCAAAACUCAUCACUUCCUAAUUAGUUCACUGGAUUUUACUAUUAUCUAUACUCUUGAGGUUAUUUAUGUCUAUUUUUAUCUGUGUGGUGAAAACAUGUGCCUCGCUUCCAAACUUGUGUUCAGUGACAUCCCUCUUGUGGCUUGAAAAGAGCCAAGUGGCUUGAAAACAGACAUCCCUCUAAGUGGCUUUUGUAGACCAUUGCUCCACAGAAAUACGCGAAUACUAAAUUCAAGAUUUUUCCCAAAGAGCCAAUUAUUAAACACUUAUCAUAAUUUCGUGUUUAUUAAUUCUACACAUGGAAAAAUCGG